AAAGUUUUGUUUAAACCGAAAAAAAAUUGACUGACUUUGGAUUUUUCUUUGUAAUAUGCGUAUGGAGAGCCCUCCUUUUUAGUUAACUCUAUCGGCACAUGUAUGAUUGUUUAGUUUUUAUUUUAUUUGUAAUGCUUUUAUGUUUUGUCAUUUAAAACAGAUAUAUAUUUGGCUUAUGGGUUUGUGAUCGUGUGUUACUAUUAUUAAUUUUUUUUGGAUUAUUUUUUUAUUUUUUUUUGAAAUUGGAAAAGAAAGUAAUUUUUUUU
rnacentral:rRNA from 1 species